rnacentral:rRNA from 1 species
UACGGGGGGGUAAGCGUUGUUCGGAAUUACUGGGCGUAAAGGGCUCGUAGGCGGCCAACUAAGUCAGACGUGAAAUCCCUCAGCUUAACUGGGGAACUGCGUCUGAUACUGGAUGGCUUGGAUUCGGGAGAGGAAUGGCGGAAUUCCAGGUGUAGCGGUGAAAUGCGUAGAUAUCUGGAGGAACACCGGUGGCGAAGGCGGCAUUCUGGACCGAUAUUGACGCUGAGGAGCGAAAGCCAGGGGAGCAAACGGG